UGCUCUAUGGCUGAGUUGGUUACAGCGUCCGACUGUUACCUCGGGUUUGUAUAACAUCGGAAGGUCGAGAGUUCGAGCCUCUCUGGGGCAG